GGCGUCUGUGGGAGCCCCGCGGCGUUACGCGCCCGCUGCCCGCCGCUCUCCGCCCCGCGCCGCCUCACUCCCUCAUCGGCCGCCAGCCCGGCUCAGCCCUCAGCUGCACCUUUCCAGAGCAAACCCGCUUUCCCCCCAAACCAUGACUUUAUUUCCUCCCUUCUUAAAUUCCCGUUCCCUCCCCGCUUUCUCCCCGUCAGAGUUUAAAAGGAUUUCAGCGCAGGGUCCCUCACUUCACCCCACACCGCGCUCUCCCGGGCCACGGGGCAGCGCAGCGUCCCGCACCCCCGCCGCACCCGUUCCUCCCUCAGGUCCCGGCCCGCGCAGCGCUGAGGCACCCGCGGAACGUCAGGAAGGUCAGGACCUCGGGCCCGGCUGCUUACUGCCGUACUCGUCGUGGUAAGGGAAGCAAUUACUGCCUAGAAGAAAGAAAUUCAUCUCCUCAGUGUGUUUUCCCCCCAUAAGCACACAGAUAAAGCAAGAGCCCACCAAGGUGAAGCUGGGAGCAAAGCAUUUUCAGGGUAUUUUAAAUGCACCUGGACUGUGCAGGAAAGACAGCGUCACCUCAACGUAUCCUUUGGGUCCCCAUUGCUCAAAGAGCACACAAUGGGCACACAUUCCUUCUGCAGGGCACCUAGAGGACCAAGAGUAAGAAGUUACAAAUCCUUACAUCUGGGGCUGCAGCCAACCACCCUCUAGUUGCUUGUAAGAUGAAAACUGCUCCCACUGGUACCUAUACAACAACCCCUUAUGGCAUUAUCUUUGUGAGGACUCAUGACAUGGGAAUUCUGAUAAAAUCUAGAUUUCUGGCUUUGAGGAAAACACAACGGAGCAUUAUCCAACAGAAUGUAUGAGUAGACGUGAUGGAAAAACAACACGGACUCCAACUAGAGAACAUUACAGCUGCAUAAGGCUAGGAAAAGUUUAACAUUCCUCCUCCCACAGACAACUUUUGUCUUCUGAAAUUAAGAGACUGCAACUGAAAUCUAGGGCACGCUUUAACCAGCCACUCCCAGUGAGGACAUUGAAGGGUUCAGAGAAAGACAGUAGCAGACACCACGAAGAUCAGGAUUGCUCAGAAUGCUGAACAGACAGGAGCACAACGAGAUGACAUUUAGGUGGUGUAGGGAAAGUAAGCUGGUGCUUUCUCUUUUCUCCCAGAAGCAUGAUUUGCAACUUAAAGAAAGUCUACAAAACGAAGCCCAGUUUACCAGUCACCUGGCUGCCACUUUGUUCCAAGUGCCCUGUAGUUUUAUGCUGAGCAAGAAAUGUUAAACCUUGAAGAUCCUGCUGCUACCUUUGGAAGCACAAUAACAAGAUGGAAUGCAGUCACUUACCUGCGAAAGAACGGCCUGCAGGUAUGGCCUUCUUUUGCAAAAUUAGAUGCACUAUUGCCAGAAGUUUCAUCAGCACGGCCUAAGAACAGCAAGAGGAACUUGGGGGAGAUGCCUUUAUCGUGCAUGGUCAAGAGCAACAAGAUGUUUCAUCAACUGUUAUGGGAGCCAGAAAGCCCCACUCCUGGGUUAAGAUGUUAAAGUAGCACUGAAGGAAAAUCCGUGGUUAUUUUGAACAGAAAGAAAAACAAAGUGAUAACAAGAAAAUCAGGAAGGAAUCAUUACAGCAUGUUUCUGAGCAUCUUUUAAGGACAGGGCCUUCUAAGGGCUUACCUGACAGUACGAAUCUCAGAAGUUACUGCAGAACGCUACAUAGGUGUAUGGUUUUAGUGAUUAAUCCCCACUAUCACCAUAUACCGUAUCAUUAACUACCUGUACAUGCAUAUGCAAGCACACACAGACACAGUCCAGGUCCUUGGGAACUCUGUCCUCUCAGCCACACCACAGAUUAACCACAGAGAAACAUUUCUGUUCCAAAUAAACACAUACCAGGGAGAAAAGUCAUAGCCUGUAGCUGGGCACCCGCAGCAGAGACACCAAACCAGACUUAGCGUACACAUAACCAAAGUAAAACAACACACCUCUCUUCCAGGGUCUUAUUUCUAGAAGUGUGUGUCAGCACCUGUAUUUCUUUUCAUGUUAAUUUUUAUCCCAAAUUUGCCAUCUGUAGCUACUGUUUCUAUUUUAAGUCUUCAGUUAAAGAUUUUUCUCUGUCCUACAAUAACGAAGCAAAAAGGUGGGUACAAACAGAUCAGUUACAACACAUCCUUACACUGAAACCAGUUCACUGAAUGCACGGGCUUUUACUAACUGUGCACGUGUACAUGCCUUCUAUUUUAGCAUAUCAAAGAUUAUGCUAACAAUCUCUGCUAAAAUAGUACUAUGAAGACAAAACCAUAAAGGUCACUGGGCUACAAGACCACCACUUAAACAAGAGUACUUUCCUAACGUAAAAGUUUGGGGGGUUAUUUCAAUCAGACUUUAAAUUGAAGCAGCUUCUAUUCCACCCAAAUGGUAAAGCUUUCACUUCUUUGUAACAAUAAAAAUUUGUGUGCUUUGCAAAAAUAUGUAUUCCUGCACUCUGUACGUAGGUGUACACUGUACUGAAGACAGUAUGGGAAUAUUGCACCAAGUUUCUGUAAUCAUCACAAAAAAAAAUAGAAGCAAUGAGAAUAUUAACAGUUGUUUUUACAUGGAAUAUAAAAGCUACCAAUAGCAGCCUAUCAGAUCCACAGACAGAUUAUCCAAAAUGAAAUCAUUAGAAAUUUGUUUAGGUAUUAAGAAGGAAUUCAAACUGUAAUUAUAUGUGCAAUUACUAUGAAGACUUGCUUACAGAUAAAAUGCAUUUCUAAUGCUAAACCUUUAUUCUAGCAACUUAAUUGUACUUGUGGCAGUGUUUGACACUUCUCAGAAUCCCCACCACACAUCCUGUAAAUACACAUUUCUCCUCAGACUUGGAAGUCAGAGACAAACAUUCUAAUAACUAGCUGUCUCUAUUUCUUUCAAAAAGUAAUAAUUCUUUUUAAAAUUGGGAGGAAAAUACUUAGAAAGAUAAACAUAUGGGAAAUUACACACAACUGCACUCCUCCCUGCAUGCCAAGAAUCUUUACCUACCCCUCAUAGCAAACAUCAUAUACCAAAGGGCAAACUAGCGUAAACAACUGGAGAACACAUUUUAAUCAUAAGAACACUAACAGAGUGACAGUGUUAAAUGGGUAGGAGAUGAAUUAUUUGUUUACAGUUAUGCAAAAAUUAAUGAGAGUAAUUUCUGCUGGUUUAGAUCUUUGCUUGUAAAACCUUGAGGCGCUUACAUUUAUUAAUGAAGUUUCACAAUUACCCCCACUGUAAUUCAGUAUUUAUGCCUUGCACCAUUUACAGACAUGGAAAUCCUGAAAGAGAUCAGCUCUGGUAAGGAUGCAAAAGUAUUUUAAAAGUCCUCCCAGUUCCCACUCAUGUCUUUCAUUCUGCCUCUAACCAGGCUAGGCACACAGGCUGGCUGCUCAGAAAGAAAAAUCAAACUAAGGUCCCAAGCUGUUCAGAAACCUAUUGGCUGUUUUGAGACUAUUACUGCUGCCUCUCUUUCUUUUCUUUUUUUUUUU